AACCCAAAAGAUCGAAUGGGGAGAUUCAUCGUCAGCGGAUCUGGUACGUGUGCGGUUCGUGAUGUCGGGGACUUCGGUCUCGCGGCACGCGUCCGCAUGGUUUCUUUAUGCCAGAUUCCGUCGGCGUGCACUUCUCCCCUAGUAGGACGUCGCGACCCGUUGGGUGUYGGUUUACGGCCCGGGUGGGAGCCUGUCGUGUGUCACGACUUUACGGCGUCAUGCGGUCAGACCCCCGGUUGUCCGACCGACUGCUCGGCGGUACUCGCACGGUAUCGGGCCGCAUUUGAACUGCGUUCGGCCCGUCGCAAGCGGAGGCUAGGUGUGUUCGGUUGUACGUACCUUGCGGUUGUCACCGGGCCUCCUGGCCAGCUGUUGGUUGACGGUGCUCUCGAACUGGCUCUAUAUUAUGAUACCGGUCGGCGACGCUACUGCUUUGGGUACUUUCAGGACCCGUCUUGAAACACGGA
rnacentral:rRNA from 1 species